CCUCCGGCUUCCCGGUUAGCGCGCGCGGGGACCGCCACCCACCCCUCCCUCCCGGCGGCGCGUGCCCGCGGAGGUGGGUGUCGGCGCCUAAUUCAUCGCGGCGCCCGGAUCGUCGGAAACGUGACACUGAUUUGUCAUUAUUAGAAUUCAGAGGUCUGCCUCAUGGAGCUCCUGAUAAACUCAUCAGUUGGGAUGUUGCCCCUGCAUCUUUCUCCUUCCAGACUGAACUGCCGGCUCCUAACACUGUUUUCUAAGCAGAAAAGGGAAAACUGAGAAAAAGAUGUUUUUCUCGCAUUUCCUCCUCAACUAGUCCACUGAAAUCAGCAGGAUCACGGUUCUCCCAUCUCUGCAGCAGGCAGAAGCACCGUGCAUCUAGAUAAAGAAUUUGCCUUUCGGCUUGGCUCAGAUGGGGAUACUGCAGUUGUCCUAGAAAAAAGGAGAAAUCUCUGCAUCCCUGCAGUACCGCCUCAGCAUCCCAAGACCACUGCCC